rnacentral:rRNA from 1 species
UACGGGGGGGGCAAGCGUUAUUCUACGUUACUGGGUGUAAAAAGUAUUAAGGUGGUUUUGUAAGUUUCUCUUCAAAGAUCAGAACUUAAUUCUGAAAAGGGGAGCAAGGACUGCUUAACUAGAGUAUAUUAGGAGAUAGUUGUAUGUUUAGUGUAGAGUUAGAAUUCUUCGAUAUUAAAAAGACAUUCAAUUGGUGAAAACUACUGUCUAUAGUAUUACUGACACUGAGAUACAAAAGCGUGAGGAGCAAACAGG